rnacentral:rRNA from 1 species
UUUAUUUUAGGUCUUCCCUGCUCAAUGAUUGUUUAUGAUUUAUUUAAUAGCCGCAGUAUAUUGACUGUGCAAAGGUAGCAUAAUCAUUUGUCUUUUAAUUGUAGGCUUGUAUGAAUGGGUUGAUGAGGUAUAACCUUUCUUUAAUUUUUAAAAUGAACUUAAUAUUUUGGUUAAAAAGCUAAAAUGUAUUUGAGGGACGAGAAGACCCUAUAGAAUUUUAUAGUCUUUAUGUUAUGGUUUAUAGGAUAUUUUAAUUAUAUAACUUUUUAUGACUAUUUUGUUGGGGCGACAGGGUAAUUUUAUUAACUUGCUUUUUAAAUUAUUUAUUGAUUUAUAUUUUACUGAUCCUUUAUUUUGGAUAACAAGAUUAAAUUACCUUAGGGAUAACAGCGUAAUUCUUUUGGAGAGUUCUUAUCGAUGAAGGAGUUUGCGACCUCGAUGUUGGAUUAAAAUUAGUAUUAAGUGCAGAAGCUUAAUUACUAGGUCUGUUCGACC